GACGAACGCUGGCGGCGUGCUUAACACAUGCAAGUCGAACGGAAAGGCCCUGCUUUUGUGGGGUGCUCGAGUGGCGAACGGGUGAGUAACACGUGAGUAACCUGCCCUUGACUUUGGGAUAACUUCAGGAAACUGGGGCUAAUACCGGAUAGGAGCUCCUGCUGCAUGGUGGGGGUUGGAAAGUUUCGGCGGUUGGGGAUGGACUCGCGGCUUAUCAGCUUGUUGGUGGGGUAGUGGCUUACCAAGGCUUUGACGGGUAGCCGGCCUGAGAGGGUGACCGGCACUGUGGGGAGGGGGAUACGGCCAAGACGACGCGGGGAGGCAGCGGUGGGUAAGAUUGAAGAAUGGGCUCAAGACGGAUGCACGACGGCGGAGGGUGGGAUGACUCCCUGUGGGUGGUAACCGCCUGCGCGCUGGACGGAGGGGGGAUUAACGGUAUGGGACAAAGAAGCACCGGCUAACGACGUGCAGGCAGCAACUGUAGUAGAUGAAAAAGCACACGUCUAUC
rnacentral:rRNA from 1 species